UCUUAUCAAGAGUGGUGGAGGGACUGGCCCUGUGAAACCCAGCAACCUAUUUUUAAUUGAGAAUUAAAAGUUUAUGAUUAUGUAUAAAAGUCUUAAGGGACUUUUUUACAAUCGUAUUUUAUAGAAACUUAAGAGAAUUUUUAUAAUUAAGUAUCAAUUGAAUUUGUGGUGCUAAUUCCUGCAGCUUUUAGCUGAUAGAUGAGA
rnacentral:ncRNA from 1 species